GUGAACCAGUUGUCCUCCCCUUUCAUAGUGCAAUGACUCGACUUGCUCACAAAGAAGAGGAAGAACAGAUCAGUGGCCAAAGACAGUGACGAGUGCGUUUGCCGAUUGGCCACGCAGCACCAUCGAGCAAGCGGUUUGAAAGGUUCCCACUGCACAACACUGAACGAACCGCAGUGAGAAUCAUCUUUAAUAAUGGGGUGCAGGUGCCAGGGAGAGAAAUAGUGAGACAGACUCGGUGUGACUUUCGUUCGGAGUUUGGUAACAGUUGCCUCACGAAAGGAGGAACGUUUCACAGAGUGGCAAUGUCGAAUACUCAAAUCAAGGUUUCGACAAAGCUGGUAAAGUACGAAGUGAAAAUAAAUAUUUAAAAAAAAGGAGAGAGAGAGAUAUAAAGGGAGAAAUAUAAAAGGUUAUGAACGGAGCAUCACAACAGCCUGGGCUCAGCAUCACUGCAUCUAACCGGAGAUCCUAUACGGGGAACCAGUAUCAUCCUACACACACACCCAAGUUCUAAAAGAGAGAGAAAGCAACACACAUAACCCAAUCUCCAAACCCUGGCAGCUGAUCAUUCUCUUGUGUAUGGAUUUUCGAAGAGGAAGGAGGUGACUCCAGCGCCCGUUGCUCCCGCACAGAGGCCGGGAUCAGUCGACGACCUGCCAGGCCUGCGUCGAGAACGUCGCCCGAAGCAAGCAAGCAAGCAAGCAAGAAAGCAAGCAAGCAAGAGAACUAGGCAUCUCGUUACGCUUGAACUAUGGAGUAAGCUCGGCAUGCGUGUACAGGUAUGUGAUUUCCGAAAAGGUUCGAGAAG